rnacentral:rRNA from 1 species
GCUUGUCUCAAAGAUUAAGCCAUGCAUGUCUAAGUAUAAAUCUUUUACUUUGAAACUGCGAACGGCUCAUUAUAUCAGUUAUAGUUUAUUUGAUAGUCCCUUACUACUUGGAUAACCGUAGUAAUUCUAGAGCUAAUACAUGCGUCAAUACCCUUCUGGGGUAGUAUUUAUUAGAUUGAAACCAACCGCUUCGGCGUGAUGUGGUGAUUCAUAAUAACCCUCCGAUCGGCUAUGCCGACGCAUCAUUCAAGUUUCUGCCCUAUCAGCUUUGGACGGUAGGGUAUUGGCCUACCGUGGCUUUAACGGGUAACGGAGAAUUAGGGUUCGAUUCCGGAGAGGGAGCCUGAGAAAUGGCUACCACAUCCAAGGAAGGCAGCAGG